rnacentral:tRNA from 1 species
CCGAGAUAGUAUAGUGGUUAGUAUUUCCGCCUGUCACGCGGAAGACCCGGGUUCGAUUCCCGGUCUCGG